GAAAACCAGCCCAUCCCUGACCUGAGCUCUGUGAGCUGAUUCCACCAGUGACUGAGCACAGACCACCACCAUGGAGCUGGGGCUGCGCUGGGUUCUCCUUGUUGCUCUGUUGAAAGGUGUGCAGUGUGAAGUGCAGCUGGUGGAGUCUGGGGGAGGCUUGGUGCAGCCUGGGGGGUCCCUGAAACUCUCUUGUGCAGCCUCUGGAUUUGACUUCAGUAACUCUGGCAUGCACUGGGUCUGCCAGGCUCCAGGGAAGGGGCUAGAGUGGGUGGCGGUUAUAGGGCAUGAUGGAAGCCAGCAAAUAUACGUCGAGUCUGAGAAGGGCAGGUUCACCAUCUCCAGAGACAACUCCAAGAACAUGCUGUACCUGUAAAUGAACAGCCUGAAAGCAGAGGACACGGCUACGUAUUACUGUGCUGCA